CCAGUGAUUCUCUUGACAUGGGGGAAGUGAUAACUUUGACUAACACUAUUCUCUUGAGAUGAGGGCAGAUGUCGGCUUCAACUGGUGACACUCUUGAGAUGGGGGUUGGUGAUGGCUUCAACUGGUGACUCUUGAGAUGGGGAAGGUGAUGGCUUCGACUGGUGACUCUUGAGAUGGGGAAGGUGAUGGCUUCAACUGGUGACUCUUGAGAUGGGGAAGGUGGUGGCUUCAACUGGUGACUCUUGAGAUGGGGAAGGUGAUGGCUUCAACUGGUGACUCUUGAGUUGGGGGAAGGUGACUUUAGAUGGGAAAUGUGAGGGACUAACUCGAGACUCUUGAGAUAGAUAAGGGUAAAUUUGGGUUUGACUGCUCAGGAACUCCCAUUAGGAUGGCAAUGUUAUGACUUUGCUGGCUUAAUUCUCAAAAGACAAUGGUUUUCUUAAACUUCAAGCAGCUGCCUAGUACUGACACCUCCAACCACACAGUUACAGAAGGUAUAGCACGUUUCUCUGCAAUUACCAAGAACUUUUUUUUUUGUUAUACCCCCC